AGAUCAGCUCCCCGUUCCCCCUCCUGCAGGGUGCCGGCUUUCCCAUCCAACUUCUGCCGCAACGAACCUGCUCGCCGCCUCCCUCACCCCCUUCGGUCGGCGCGAGCGGCCGAGCGCCCUCGAUGCGGGGAUAGAGCGGCGGAGCGCGGGUGGCGGUCGAGUCCGGCCAUCUGCAGACUGCAGCAGUCCGGCAUGGUCGAGCAGCCGCAUCAGCAUCUGUAGGGGCCGACUCGCCCCCACCGCCUCUUCAAGGCAAAUUAUUUUGCCCCUCUUCAACUGCUGGAGCUUCAUCAAGGUGUGCUGCUUUGGAGCAUGCAGCAGUCUAGGGAGUAGGGAGAGGUGCUGUUCCCGCUCGCUGGCUAGGCGAAGCGGGAGGUCAAUGGCUGAAUCGUUGACUACCUCGCCGGGGUGGUGGUGCCGUGGUGACCGAGGCGUUAGUCCUUAGCCUCAGGCUCUGCCUCAAGGUGCAGAAAUGCAGAUUGAAACAGGGCUCCUGAGCUCUCUGAUGCAUGUUUUACUUGCUAGUGUAUUGCAAAUAAUGAUGGUGCUUACGAAAUGGGGGCAGGAGACAGGAGGAUGAGGCAUAAUCUUCAGGGUCCAUGAUGACUUUCAUCGUUGCUAGGGAGGGUGAAGGCAUGUAUGUGGAUGUUGCCUGCUCAGUUGAGUUGCAUCUUGCUCUAGACCUGGGAAUUGGCAUCUUCAACAUUGAGGCACUGAAGUGGAGAGAUUCGAUGUCCAGCUACUUGCCCAUGCACUGAAGUGGAGAGAUCCUACCACCUCGCUACAAGCAGUUGCUCUGUAGGAUGCAAAAUUCCUGAUGAUAACAUGUUUUCAGAAUUUUAUGAUACAAAAUCUUCUUUUGUAAUUGUCUGACAUAGAUGUGACAAUCUUGUAGACUUGUACCAUCAUAUAUGGCUGAAAUAGUUGCAGGUGAAAACCCUGUACAUGUGCACUAUUAAAGUCUCAGUCAUGAGAAAUUUAUUUGGCAAUUAGAAACUCCUGCUGAUUUCU